AGGGACGUCCCCCCGGGAUGAGCCCCGAGCUAUCCCCGCGGCCCUGGGCCAGGCUGCCCCGCGGGGCGCUGGGACCUGACCGGGCAGGGACCUCUGAGACUCCGGAGACCUGCGCGCUUGGACAACAGGAGCCAGGUGCUGACUCAGCCAUUGAGACAUGUUAUCCAAGGAGCGGAGCUGGGAGGCGCCUGUGAGGACCGUGAGGGCCCACACCUGGGUGUUGCUUAUCUUGGGGGAUUUUCACCUCCUCUGCAAGAAGGGCCGCUGACCACAGGGCUCUGUAAAGUUGCUACCUGCCUUGCCGUAUUUUUCAGAACCCAUCUCCAAAAUGUUGGUACACAACAGGAUACAAAAGCACACACAAAGGGGAAAGCAAG
rnacentral:lncRNA from 1 species